AGAACCAGUACAGCCUGACGAGAGCUCAGCAGUCCUACAAGUCCCUGGUUCAGAUCCACGAGAAGAACGGCUGGUACACGCCGCCCAAGGAGGACGGGUAGCGCGGACGCUGCGGGACCAGCCCCGUCCUCUGCUGGAUGCUCUACUCGGAUCUUGAUGCCUCUUGGCUUUCUCCCAGGAUGUAAUAGCUCUGCCUGUUGCAGGACAAUAAUGGCUGUUCAAAACCCUAAAUAAAACUGUGUAAGCAGUUGGACUGACCUGACACACUUGCUGGACCCUUGCUCGCAGCCAUUCUUGUCAAAACAAACUUUUGAGCCUCUUGUAUCGCUGGAAACUUUUGACUCUACUCCAGUCUAGAGCAUCCUCCUUACCUAUGCUAUGGAUUUAAUUUAUUUUCUUAUUUCAUGUACACUGCUCUUUUUUUGUUACAGUGUAUGAUGGAUGUGUAUGGAAAAUGUAUCUUUGGAGAAAAAUUACAGUUUGUUAAUUUGAA